AUGUUUAUUUCUUUUUACAUUCUCCUAAAUUGUUCUAGGGAAGGGUCAGAUCAGAAAGGCUGUCCGCUACAGUGAAGCAUUGUGGCUUCUGGACCCUUGUGCCUGGGUUUUAAUCCAUUUUCUACUUCUCCUUAAAGGUCUCCUUUGUGGAUGCAGUUUUGUGGCUGGUCACACUUCUGGAGCUGCCCCUGGAGUGCCAUGAAGUUGGCUAAUAACAUGGACAGACCAGCCCUGAAAACCCGGCCUGCCACAGACUUAGCUGCUAUAUGACGUUGGGCGGAAACUCCCAGAGCAGCGGCGCAGCAACACCUAAGCCCCCGGGACCAGCCUGGCCUAGAACAUCUGAUCCAGUCCGAGACACCACCGCCUGCCUGCCUUCAGCCCCUCCUGCUCCCUGGCCCAGUGCUCACAAGCCUUGGCCUUCCCUCUGUUCUUGGGCCCCUGGUCAGUAGCAGGGAUGACCAAAGACCCCCUUCCCACAUCUGGAUGCAUGGAGGAAGUGAGGUACCUUUCACAGUUGGGGAAAAUGAGGUAGAAAUGGGGAAUUCUCAGCCACAUUCCAAGGACAUACAGCAGAAAGCAGGUUACCAAAGGUCCCUGGUGCCAUGCCUGGGUUUCCUGUGGUUACCUGUCUGUCCAUCCCAAACUCCGAGGUGGCAGCCCCUCAGAGAUGCCAGGGAAGAUGUGAACUCCCUCUCCCACUCAUGCUGGACAAAGCACUUCCCUAGAUGAAAACUCCAAGCCCUGUUUAGGAGAGACCUUGCUAUAAACACUGAGUGAGGAGCUGCCUGAGACCACAGAGUUCUGUGGUGAGUACUGGGGUUGAGCUGCCCCUGUACCCCUGAAAGUAUGGGGCAGGAGGGGGGACUGGGCCUCCCAGGAGCAGGAAGCCUCAGGAAAGGGCCAACUUAACCCUUUAGGGCCCUAGAUAGAUAGACUUCAAAUCCCAGGCUGGCCCUCCCCCAGACUCUUCCCCUCCCCCGCCCACAAAUCCGAGGGGCUUGGAGAGAAGGAUGGUUAUGGGGGAGGGAGAGGGUGAUUAUGAAAACAGCUCUCCCUGUAGAGCCAGCAGGAGACCGGCUGUGCUGAGGAAUGUGGAGUAAAUUCACCCAUCACUUGAUUUUUAUUUUUCCCAGCUGGCUGAAGUUGUGUGGGGUGGGAGGUGUCUGAAGGAGGGUUGUGCUGUGUCCCCCAGCUGCUUCGUCCUCCAGGCUCUAGGGUGCACCUCCCUACCUCACCAGCCCCAGCUUGCCCUGGGACAGCUAAAACACAUACGCGCACGCACACACACACACACACACACACACACACACAACCUAGCAAGUGUUUGGCUGACUCACUACAUAAACAGGGUGUUAGGUUUUCUUAGUCUUUGCUUUGUUUUGAGUGCUAGCCCUCCCCCACAAGCUCUACAUGCAUGGCUCAGAGGAUGCCCAGGACCAAAUAUUCCUCCCAGCCAGAGAGAUGGAAGGCACAAAGCACUGAUCAGGUUAUGUGGGGUUUUUUGCUCACUGUUCCCUUACCUGAGCCAGGUCAGGGAAUCCAAGAAGGUCCUGCACAUAAAGGAAGUUGGCAGAUAUUGUUUU